AGCACACAUAGAUUGGUUCAUCUACAUGGCUCGUAAUGAAUGGCAGAAUCACACAGAUCUGAUGGCUUUACAAGGUUAACAGCAUCCUUCGUAUAGAAGGGCAACCAGAAUGCUCUGUAGUAUUCUAAAAGUGGCCUCACCAGUGUUCUAUACAAACACAUGACCUCCUAACUCCUGUACUCAAUGCUCUGACCAACGAAGUGCAGCAAUCUUUAUGAGAACCAGGCACCUACAAGCAGAACCUGAAGUUUCCAUUUCACAAAACCAUUUCAUAACCAGCACUGCAAGAUAAUGUUUCGUGGCUG